UGAGGAAUAUUGGACAAUGGGCGCAAGCCUGAUCCAGCCAUGCCGCGUGCAGGAAGAAGCAUCUAUGGUGUGUAAACUGCUUUUGUACGGGAAGAAACACUCCUACGUGUAGGAGCUUGACGGUACCAUCAGAAGAAGCACCGGCUAACUACGUGCCAGCAGCCGCGGUAAUACGUAGGAUCCAAGCGUUAUCCGGAAUCAUUGGGUUUAAAGGGUCCGUAGGCGGUUUAGUAAGUCAGUGGUGAAAGCCCAUCGCUCAACGAUGGAACGGCCAUUGAUACUGCUAGACUUGAAUUAUUAGGAAGUAACUAGAAUAUGUAGUGUAGCGGUGAAAUGCUUAGAUAUUACAUGGAAUACCAAUUGCGAAGGCAGGUUACUACUAAUGGAUUGACGCUGAUGGACGAAAGCGUGGGGAGCGAACA
rnacentral:rRNA from 1 species